CGAUCUACGGAUGAAAGCGGGGGAUCGCAAGACCUCGCGCGAUUGGAGCGGCCGAUAUCAGAUUAGGUAGUUGGUGGGGUAAAGGCUCACCAAGCCAACGAUCUGUAGCUGGUCUGAGAGGACGACCAGCCACACUGGAACUGAGACACGGUCCAGACUCCUACGGGAGGCAGCAGUGGGGAAUUUUGGACAAUGGACGCAAGUCUGAUCCAGCCAUUCCGCGUGCAGGACGAAGGCCUUCGGGUUGUAAACUGCUUUUGUACAGAACGAAAAGGUCUCUAUUAAUACUAGGGGCUCAUGACGGUACUGUAAGAAUAAGCACCGGCUAACUACGUGCCAGCAGCCGCGGUAAUACGUAGGGUGCAAGCGUUAAUCGGAAUUACUGGGCGUAAAGCGUGCGCAGGCGGUUAUGUAAGACAGAGGUGAAAUCCCCGGGCUCAACCUGGGAACUGCCUUUGUGACUGCAUAGCUGGAGUGCGGCAGAGGGGGAUGGAAUUCCGCGUGUAGCAGUGAAAUGCGUAGAUAUGCGGAGGAACACCGAUGGCGAAGGCAAUCCCCUGGGCCUGCACUGACGCUCAUGCACGAAAGCGUGGGGAGCAAACAGGAUUAGAUACCCUGGUAGUCCACGCCCUAAACGAUGUCAACUGGUUGUUGGGUCUUCACUGACUCAGUAACGAAGCUAACGCGUGAAGUUGACCGCCUGGGGAGUACGGCCGCAAGGUUGAAACUCAAAGAAAUUGACGGGGGCCCGCACAAGCGGAGGAGCAUGUGGCUUAAUUCAAUGCAACGCGAAGAACCUUACCUGGGCUUGACAUGUAGAGAUCAAUCGGUGAAAGCCGAUGGCCGCAAGGCGAUCUACACAGGUGCUGCAUGGCUGUCGUCAGUUCGUGCCGUGAGGUGUUGGGUUAAGUCCCGCAACGAACGCAACCCUUGUGUUUAGUUGCCACCGGCGUGAUAAACGUCGAGCACUCUAAACAGACUGCCCGUGACAAGCGGGAGGAAGGUGGGGAUGACGUCAAGUCAGUAUGGCCCUUACGUCCAGGGCUGCACACGUGCUACAAUGGCCGGUACAGAGGGCUGCAAGACCGCGAGGUGGAGCAAAUCCUAAAAACCGGCCCCAGUUCAGAUUGAAGGCUGCAACUCGCCUUCAUGAAGCCGGAUUCGCUAGUAAUGGCGUAUCAGCUACGACGCCGUGAAUACGUUCCCGGGCCUUGUACACACCGCCCGUCACAUCAUGAAAGCCGUCUGCACCCGAAGUCGCUGAUCCAACCCGCAAGGGGGGUAGGUGCCGAAGGUGUGGGUGGUGAUUGGGAUGAAGUCGUAACAAGGUA
rnacentral:rRNA from 1 species